rnacentral:rRNA from 1 species
AGCGAACGCUGGCGGCAGGCUUAACACAUGCAAGUCGAGCGGGCAUCCUUGUGGUGUCAGCGGCAGACGGGUGAGUAACGCGUGGGAACGUGCCCUUCGUUUCGGAAUAACUCAGGGAAACUUGAGCUAAUACCGGAUACGUGCGAGAGCAGAAAGGUUUAUCUGCCGAAGGAUCGGCCGGCGUCUGAUUAGCUAGUUGGUGAGGUUAUGGCUCACCAAGGCGACGGUCAGUAGCUGGUCUGAGAGGAUGAUCAGCCACACUGGGACUGAGACACGGCCCAGACUCCUACGGGAGGCAGCAGUGGGGGAUAUUGGACAAUGGGGGCAACCCUGAUCCAGCCAUGCCGCGUGAGUGAUGACGGCCUUAGGGUUGUAAAGCUCUUUUCUCCGGGACGAUAAUGACGGUACCGGAGGAAUAAGCCCCGGCUAACUUCGUG